CCUGACGGUCUGAAUCUUUUACUAUAGAACCAGCUAAAGAUGGCAGAGAUGUCUCAGGAUUCCCUCCUGCAGAAAAAGCUAAACGAACUGAAAGAAAAACUCGAGGAGCAAUUUCGAGACAGAGAGCGAGAACUUCAGGAGAAUGAGAAGGUUCUGGAGGGGCUGGCUGCCCUGGAGGAAGCAAAAUUAAAGGAGGCAAUUGAUGAAGAAAAGACAAAGGUCCGAGAUUUGGAAGCUCAGAUGAAGCGAUUGGCUGAGGUAUAUAGAAAUCCGUGGGCCUGCCUCCUCAUUGCCAUCCCACAAUCUCCUCUAGCAGACAGCUAGAGAGAUAAAUAUUUAUAUUGUGCAUUUUGAGUGUUCAAAGGAAGCACUUCUUCCUACAUUAAGUUACUUAAUAACCAUAGGUCCUUUUCCACUUUUAUAUCACACCAUUCUUCUCAGGAACUAAAGGCAGAGUACAUGGUUCUUGCCUCCCUUCACCUCCACAUUUUGCCCUCUCAAAAACAAACAAACAGGCAAAGAAACAAAAAAACCAUUGUAGGCUGAGAAGGCAAGGGUGCCUCAAGGUUACCAAGUGGCUGAGCGUGAGUUUCAUGCCUAGGUCUGAC
rnacentral:lncRNA from 1 species